GCCAGAACAGAGAAUCCACAUCAUUCUUGGGAAGUCAGCCAGGACGCCUGCUGCUUUGUGCUACUAUCUCCUGUGUGCAUCUGACAAAGAAAAAAACUAGGUUUUAAAUAUGUUCACAGCUUGUUAAAACUGAACAGAAUUGUGAAUACAGAGACCAGCAGUUAGAACUGCUUCAGUUUUCAAGAAAGAGGGUAACAAGCAUAAAUAUCUUAACACUUAAAGCAGGAGAUUUAGAAGUACACAUUCUCCAGUGUACUCAUUUCCAGGCAGUGCCAAAAUUGGAUGCUAGGAGUAGGAGAGGAUAUGUCCUGCAAACUAAGAGAUAUGCAUUCUGAUUACUAUGCAUGAAUAUAUGCAAAUUGUUAUCUCUGUGCUUUGCUUUCUCCAGGAAAUAGAGGAAAAUUGUAGCCAGAUGAAAUAAUUGUAUCAAUUAUUUUUCUUUCUUAUGAAAGAUCCUUCCUCUUUAUCCACACCCUGCAACGUGUGCCAUGCUUUGCAUGCUGUUUCUGAGCCCUCUGACUUGCUGACCUUCUGUGGGCAAAUAAAGGUCUGAUGUAACUUCCCAUGAGUCCCAUCUGAUACCACCCUUUUGAUCCCAUCAAAGCUGUUUUAUGAUGACUGGAGGGAUUGCUGCAGAGCUCUCAAAGUUCAGUUUCUUGUCUGACCACCGUAGACCCCGGCUGUCUGGAAAAUCAAAACUGUGUCUGGAGAGAGUCUCUUUGCCCAUUGGAAAGUAGCAGAGAAUGACAGCUAUAUUUAAGCUUUAAUAAAUGUCUUUUGUUCAGUACUGGGUGUUUAUGGAAUGUCUGUAAAAGUACAUGGUAUUAAAGUAGAGGUUAAGGUUAUUACUUCUAUUUUCAAGCAAGGAGGAAGAUACUGUUAUUUUUAAUGAAGUGCUUAUGGCUUUGAUGAUUGCAGGAGCGUCCAGCUCUCUGUGCUAAGAGUUGCUGUGAGACUGCAGAGCGCCUGAAGAGGUGGGGUUCAGCUUAGGUCUAUGUGUUCAGUCCUAUCUGGCUGAGACUGAGAUUACUGACUGCUGAAACCUUGCCUACAGAUCUUGCAUGAUUUGAGUGGAAGGUGGCAGAAAGGUUCUCCUUCACAAAUGGUUUUGUUGUUUUGGGAUGAGAUUUGUUCAGACUAAGGUCUCUGGGCUCAGAUUUGCUCAUCUUCUGAAUCAAGAUGUGGAUAAAUUAAGAACAAAGGGCAGGAUACUUGUUUUUGAUGAUUUAAAUCCAGGCUGUUCAUCCCACAGUGUUGAAGAAGUUCAGUUCUGAGGGUCAGGAAAGUUUCAUGUGGGGAGUGACUGUUUAAAGUAUUGUAAGAGCCCUAGAAACCAGAAUUCUUUGUUCAUAAGUCAUACAUAGUGCAGAAAACAGCAACAGCAGCAGACCUUUUCCCCAUGAAUUGCAAACAAGCUUAACCCCAAAUUGGAAAGUCCGUACUCUGGAGAGGUGAAAGGAAAUUCAAUAUCUGAGCUAAGUGUGCUCUGACUUCCUUGGAAGAAAGACUGCCAGCUGUACAAGGUUACGAUAAUGAUGUGAUGAGGACCCACUGUCCACUGAGGCUUUCAUGAGCCAAAGACAUUCAUGGAGGACUGCAAAAUAUGUGGUCCCACAGGGUGGGGGGUAUGGAGAAUUUGGAAAUGUGUUGACACAUUUGUGUGAUAGCGCUCACAAUGUUGAGAUGACACUAUGAUACAAACAUAAGUUCAAGCCAGACGGAAGCCCUGGAGGAUGCUAACACAGCACUGCAAUAUGCUAAGGGCUGGUGACCUAUGUGUGAAAGUCUGACUGACAAGAAGGCAAACACAAAAACAAAUUGGAGCAGAAAUGAAGAAACCCCUCUCGCUGAGAAAUGUAUCAGCAACCUGUGAAGAAAGGUGAGAAGGCAGCACAAAGUCUGUGAGUCUGUCACGUUGGUCAGCAUUUGGAGAUUUCCCCACACAAAGCAGUGCUGUUGCAACAUCUAUUUCCAUCUUUGAGCUUCAUGAAGAUCGGGAACCUGGGCAAGAACUGACUGCCAUUGCCAUUUUACCUUUAAGGACCUUUCACUGCACUUGCAUGUUAAAGGUUCGCAUAUAAUAAGGAAGAGGUGAUUUCUAUGGUGAAGAACUGGAAGUUUUUUUCACCAAUGUGCUGAUGAAGAAAAUGGUAACACCUGAAGAUAUAGAAGGCAGAACAAGGAACUCCUACAUGCUUCAGCUACAGCUUGUACUAAGAAGCAAGAAAUCCAGUUCUUGGCAUCAUCGUUCACAAGCAUCCUGAAGUCUUUUUUUGAUGCACGUGUGGUUCAUGGAGAACCAUUUUGGAACCACAAGUAAGAGAGCAGCGAAGUUAUGAUUAUCUGCUUGAAAUAUGGACACCCACUUUGGUUGUGGUCAAUACCUACAUGUGAUUGGGACUGUGGGUGAAUGUGGCCUUCUGUGAGCAAUGAACAAAUUGCACAAGAGUUGUGUGGACUUCAAUGAUAGAAGCUUGAUUUGCAAGGUAAAGGUCAUUGUGAAAUAAUUUUGAGACAAACAGGAGGAAAAAGGGGUAACUUUUAAGAGAGUAGAGCUCGGAAAACCUCAGAUUUCUCAACUUAUUGCUGAUCUAUUAUCUUGCAUUUCAUGCAAAAGAAAAAAAAAGUUAAUUGACCUGUUUUUAAAGCUUUGCUGAAAAUUAGGUGAU